UACGUAGGUGGCAAGCGUUGUCCGGAAUUAUUGGGCGUAAAGCGCGCGCAGGUGGUUUCUUAAGUCUGAUGUGAAAGCCCACGGCUCAACCGUGGAGGGUCAUUGGAAACUGGGGAACUUGAGUGCAGGAGAGAAGAGUGGAAUUCCACGUGUAGCGGUGAAAUGCGUAGAGAUGUGGAGGAACACCAGUGGCGAAGGCGACUCUUUGGCCUGUAACUGACACUGAGGCGCGAAAGCGUGGGGAGCA
rnacentral:rRNA from 1 species